rnacentral:rRNA from 1 species
GACGAACGCUGGCGGCGUGCUUAACACAUGCAAGUCGAACGAAGAGCGAUGGAAGCUUGCUUCUAUCAAUCUUAGUGGCGAACGGGUGAGUAACGCGUAAUCAACCUGCCCUUCAGAGGGGGACAACAGUUGGAAACGACUGCUAAUACCGCAUACGAUCCAAUCUCGGCAUCGGGACUGGAUGAAAGGUGGCCUCUAUUUAUAAGCUAUCACUGAAGGAGGGGAUUGGGUCUGAUUAGCUAGUUGGAGGGGUAACGGCCCACCAAGGCGAUGAUCAGUAGCCGGUCUGGGAGGAGGGACGGCCACAUUGGGACUGAGACACGGCCCAGACUCCUACGGGGGGCAGCAGUGGGGAAACUUCCGAAAUGGACGAAAGUCUGACGGAGCAACGCCGCGUGGGUGAUGACGGCCUUCGGGUUGUAAAGCUCUGUUAAUCGGGACGAAUGGUUCUUGUGCGAAUAGUGCGAGGAUUUGACGGUACCGGAAUAGAAAGCCACGGCUAACUACGUG